rfam:Octopus bimaculoides Scaffold41803_contig_123, whole genome shotgun sequence.
GUAGGCUAUGGGGACAUGGCCCCCAAGACGUAUGUAGGUAUGUUUGUGGGUGCAUUAUGUGCCCUCGCAGGUGUGUUGACGAUAGCUCUGCCGGUACCUGUCAUAGUGAGCAAC